CAGAGCUCUGAUGUGACACGUCAUCAAGGAAUAAAACUCUUUACUCCUCUUUGCCAACCCUGACGCGUGUUAUGGAUUCGCCAGACCUAGACUAUCUUUCUGAUUCAAAUUUUCAAGGUGAGUAUUAUGCUAUUGCCGAAUUUUAUGAUGUUUUAUUCAUCGCUGAUUAUUUAUUUAUAAACACGCAGAUUUGCUAAUUGGAAACUGUUUCUAUUUUCAGAUGAUAUCCAUCAGAUACCCAAAAGUUUUAUAUCUUGCCAUACUUUUUAACGAAUGGUGAAUAAUCAAGUCAAAUUGCGUAAGCAAUAGACAUGUAAAUCAUAAUGGUUAAUGACAAAUGUAAUAUGGAAUGGUAUAUAAUACUUGAAAUAAAAGGAAACAUGGAGA
rnacentral:lncRNA from 1 species